rnacentral:lncRNA from 1 species
AUCGAAGUACCCACCUGUAAGGAUAUCGCGUCUGUCUCCUGACUGCAAAAGAAUGUCGACAGGGCCUAUAGAGGGUCCACCGGGUUAGUAUCUAACCCACAACUAAUAAUCACAGUAUCCAUAACCCCACAAACAAUUUCAUGAAGAUCGGUUUCCAAUACCGAUUACCGUAACUCGCCUGAAGUCCCGAAAACCUUACCGGGACGCCGUCGGGACCCACUAAGUGUCCCGAAACUCACCAACUCGUACCACAAGUCACCCGCUGCCACAAAAUACACCAAUUUGAAUGUCUUGGCAGUAAACACAAGGUAACACAACCCAACAAUUAUCGUUCGGAUAAUUGUUCGGAUCCGGGUUCCCGGAAGUGUCUAUUUCGACACCGGAACCCACCGUCUCUCACCCGUCAUCAUCAAACCCACAAAAUGAUGAUGGUGACGAGCCAACAAGGCUCAGCGACAACUCAACGGACAACCAAACCACGUCGGAAGAAAUCCGAAUCGAAUCUGCGUUCUUUCGGCGAAUUUCGCCGAAAAACGCACCGUAACCGACUCUUCAAUUUCGGCAAAGGCUAUCGGAUCAUGGACAAUCAGUCCAGAGGUUACCACACACUCCAACGCAUUGCCCACAGUAGCCACAAGGUGCACAAUUGCAUAAAAGUCCCUCAAAUUACAUAAAAUCCUAUCAUUUUAUGUGAUUUGAGCGAUCAAGUGGCUAGUUCACGCAAACCGAGGACUUCCAAGGUCUGCCGAGACACGUAUAGCUUGGUCUCGACGUACCGGAGGCCGUGCUCAUGAUCUGGAGCACAACGGCUCACUGUGGGAAGCGCGGGAGCAACCCGAAGGUUCAGCGAAAAGCGCAUAGUCAAGGGAGAUCGCGCCGAACAGGACUAACCGGACACUGCUGAUCCAAAAUAAGGUGAGCACCGUGAUCAGCACUGACUAGCGGUCACCGUGCUCACCUCCGGAGGCAUCGGAACAGCCUCGGAUCACCGAAAAAGCACGCACAAACACAGAACAACAGCCAAAAAGGCUCCAUAGGGUCGACACCGCAAAAAUAGCGGAACGGGGCCUUCCCGACAGAAACCAAGGUGAGCACGAUGAUUAGAAACUUGCCAGGAUCAUCAUGCUCCCUUCCGUAGAGAUCGGGGAGGCUCGAGAAGCUCGGAAUAGUAAACCAUCCUAACUAAGCCCUAUCUCGGGCUUGGCCGGAGCAAGCUUGCUCCGGCCGGCUUCCGGCGGCACGGCGGCGCUCGCGGAGGCUAGGGAUGGGUGCGGGGGAGGUGAGGAGUGAGGUGCUCACCUCAGACAGCGGCUGGAAGCGGCGGCGGCGGCGGAGGAACAAGACAAGCCCGCACAGCUAGGGCACGGGUUCCGCUGGCACCUGCGGC